rnacentral:rRNA from 1 species
AUUGAACGCUGGCGGCAGGCCUAACACAUGCAAGUCGAGCGGAGCGGCGGACGGGUGAGUAAUGCCUAUGAAUCUGCCUGGUCGCGGGGGAUAACGUCCGGAAACGGGCGCUAAUACCGCAUACUAUCAGAUGAGCCUAGGUCGGUUUCGCUAGUUGGUGGGGUAAAGGCCUACCGAGGCCACGAUCCGUAACUGGUCUGAGAGGAUGAUCAGUCACAGUGGAACUGGGACACGGUCCAGACUCCUACGGGAUGCGGCAGUGGGGAAUAUUGGACAAUGGGCGAAAGCCUGAUGCAGCCAUGCCGCGUGUGUGAAGAAGGUCUUCGGAUUGUGAAGCACUUUAAGUUGGGAGGCGUUACCAACAGAAUAAGCACCGGCUAACUACGUGCCAGCAGCCGCGGUAAUUC